rnacentral:lncRNA from 1 species
UCAAUUUGUUUCAUGGCAUGUCCUAGAAUCGCUACAAUUAUGAAACUAUAAUGACAAAAUUGACAAAAUUAAAACUACAAGGACAAAAGUGAAAAAACUGAUAGGCUACAUGAAUCAAAAGUGACCUUUUUCUUUUUUACAAUCAACCCGAAAAUAACAACACAAAAGAAAAGAAAAAAAACACAAAAAACUAUGUUUUAAAGGGGUAUUCAAUUGAAAUCUAGGUCUAAAAUAUCGAUGGUUUCGAAAUAUUGGUGGUCC